rnacentral:rRNA from 1 species
UACGGGAGGGUGCGAGCGUUGUCCGGAAUCAUUGGGCGUAAAGGGCGCGUAGGUGGCCUGCUAAGCGUGCGGUGAAAGUCGGGGGCUCAACCCCCGAUCGGCCGUGCGAACUGGGAGGCUUGAGCACUUGUAGAGGCAGGCGGAAUUCCGGGUGUAGCGGUGGAAUGCGUAGAGAUCCGGAAGAACACCGGUGGCGAAGGCGGCCUGCUGGCAGUUUGCUGACACUGAGGCGCGACAGCGUGGGGAGCAAACAGG